GGUUGAUGCAAUGAUCUUAGAAACUUCUGAGGACAGAAAAGCAGCUUUUCUGGAUUUGGAAGCAGGUCUUUCAUCGGAAAAAUCUGUAUGAAGUAUGACCGGAUAUUACAGAAAAGAAAUCUUUAUCAUUUGUCUACAACUUAAUAAGGACCCCACACCACCAUACAGUGGGCCUGCUUAUAUGGACAGAUUAACAACAUGUCUUCUCUUACCAUGACAACACCCAGCUAAUGUUUACUGAUAAACCAGUAGCAAGUCAGAACAUCUACAAGAUGCAAGAGGAAUUCACAGCCCUAAAAUUCCAGCAAAAGCAGAAAAGGACUUUCUUCCAACAAAACAGUUACUGUCUUUCUAGCUCUGUAGACAUCAGCAGAAGGGAACAAUGU